rnacentral:rRNA from 1 species
UUAGUGGCGGACGGGUGAGUAACACGUGGGAACGUGCCUUUUGGUUCGGAACAACUCAGGGAAACUUGAGCUAAUACCGAAUGUGCCCUUCGGGGGAAAGAUUUAUCGCCAUUAGAGCGGCCCGCGUCUGAUUAGCUAGUUGGUGAGGUAAAGGCUCACCAAGGCGACGAUCAGUAGCUGGUCUGAGAGGAUGAUCAGCCACACUGGGACUGAGACACGGUCCAG